CAAAGAGUAACACAUUACACAUACACUAUUAUUAUUGGUAUUUAUAAAACACCAAUUUAUUCUGCAUCACUUUACAAUAACUAACAUGGCUGUUCCAUUUCCCUCUUGUAAUCCUACUUGUUACAAUAAGGCAUAACAUGGAUCUACAAUAUAACACUGUCCUGAGACCAUCAUACAUCUGCAUCUAUGAGCCAGGGUAGUG